AUUGAACGCUGGCGGCAGGCCUAACACAUGCAAGUCGAACGAGUGGCGGACGGGUGCGUAAUGUCUGGGAAACUGCCCGAUGGAGGGGGAUAACUACUGGAAACGGUAGCUAAUACCGCAUACCCUCGUAUGUGCCCAGAUGGGAUUCGCUAGUAGGUGGGGUAACGGCUCACCUAGGCGACGAUCCCUAGCUGGUCUGAGAGGAUGAUCAGCAACACUGGAACUGAGACACGGGCCAGACUCCUACGGGAGGCAGCAGUGGGGAAUAUUGGACAAUGGGCGAAAGCCUGAUCCAGCCAUGCCGCGUGUGUGAAGAAGGUCUUAGGGUUGUAAAGCACUGUAAGUUGGGAGGCGUUACCAACAGAAUAAGCACCGGCUAACUUCGUGCCAGCAGCCGCGGUAAUAC
rnacentral:rRNA from 1 species